GCUCUUAUGGCUCAGUGGCAGAGCAUUUGUCUUGUAAACAAAAGGUCCGUGGUUCGAUCCCGCGUGAGAGCU
rnacentral:tRNA from 1 species